CAUAGCGGAGGAAAAGAAACUAACAAGGAUUCCCCUAGUAACUGCGAGUGAAGCGGGAAAAGCUCAAAUUUAAAAUCUGGCAGUCUUUGGCUGUCCGAGUUGUAAUCUAGAGAAGUGAUGCCCGCGCUGGACCGUGUACAAGUCUCCUGGAAUGGAGCGUCAUAGAGGGUGAGAAUCCCGUCUCUGACACGGACUACCAGGGCUUUGUGGUACGCUCUCAAAGAGUCGAGUUGUUUGGGAAUGCAGCUCUAAAUGGGUGGUAAAUUCCAUCUAAAGCUAAAUAUUGGCGAGAGACCGAUAGCGAACAAGUACCGUGAGGGAAAGAUGAAAAGAACUUUGGAAAGAGAGUUAAACAGUACGUGAAAUUGCUGAAAGGGAAACGCUUGAAGUCAGUCGCGUUAGCUAGAACUCAGCCUCGCUCUUGCGUGGUGUACUUUCUGGUUGACGGGUCAGCAUCAAUUUUGACUGCUGGAAAAAGGCCUUGGGAAUGUGGCAGCUUCGGCUGUGUUAUAGCCCUUGGUCACAUACAGCGGUUGGGAUUGAGGAACUCAGCACGCCGCAAGGCCGGGUUUCGACCACGUUCGUGCUUAGGAUGCUGGCAUAAUGGCUUUAAGCGACCCGUCUUGAAACACGGACCAAGGAGUCUAACAUGCCUGCGAGUGUUUGGGUGGUAAACCCGAGCGCGUAAUGAAAGUGAAAGUUGAGAUCCCUGUCGUGGGGAGCAUCGACGCCCGGACUUGAACUUUUGUGACGGAUCCGCGGUAGAGCAUGUAUGUUGGGACCCGAAAGAUGGUGAACUAUGCCUGAAUAGGGUGAAGCCAGAGGAAACUCUGGUGGAGGCUCGUAGCGAUUCUGACGUGCAAAUCGAUCGUCAAAUUUGGGUAUAGGGGCGAAAGACUAAUCGAACAU
rnacentral:rRNA from 1 species